UAGGGAAUUUUUCACAAUGAGCGAAAGCUUGAUGGAGCAAUGCCGCGUGAACGAUGAGGGUCUUUAAGAUUGUAAAGUUCUUUUAUUUGGGAAGAAUGACUUUAGCAGGUAAUGGCUAGAGUUUGACUGUACCAUUUUGAAUAAGUGACGACUAACUAUGUGCCAGCAGUCGCGGUAAUACAUAGGUCGCAAGCGUUAUCCGGAUUUAUUGGGCGUAAAGCAAGCGCAGGCGGAUUGAAAAGUCUGGUGUUAAAGGCAGCUGCUUAACAGUUGUAUGCAUUGGAAACUAUUAAUCUAGAGUGUGGUAGGGAGUUUUGGAAUUUCAUGUGGAGCGGUGAAAUGCGUAGAUAUAUGAAGGAACACCAGUGGCGAAGGCGAAAACUUAGGCCAUUACUGACGCUUAGGCUUGAAAGUGUGGGGAGCAAAUAGGAUUAGAUACCCUAGUAGUCCACACCGUAAACGAUAGAUACUAGCUGUCGGGGCGAUCCCCUCGGUAGUGAAGUUAACACAUUAAGUAUCUCGCCUGGGUAGUACAUUCGCAAGAAUG
rnacentral:rRNA from 1 species